GGAAGGGCCACCUCCCAGAAGACAGCCUGGAAUUUGCCCAGGGAGCCAGUCCAUUUAAGGGCGGAGCCACAGGCCCAUUCUGACAGUGUAAAUCAGGAGUUCUGAUUUCACUCCCAUUACUCUUCUUUUUUUUUUUUUGAGAUCAAAAAUGUAUACUCUUAUGUUCUACAGCCCAGUGGUUAGGCCAUGAAGUGGGGAUGUGGGAGACCCAUAGUCUAGUCCCUACUCUGCCUCAUUCAGAGUGAUCUGGAAUGGAGAACUUUGCUCUGAAUCAGGCAUAUCCAGGACUUAAACCUGGGUUUCCCACAUCCCCAGCUAUUUGCCUAACUACAAGGCUGCACACAAGUACAUUCCCCAAUCAAAGAGCUCAAGUUUCAAUCUGAAAAUGGACAUUUUGACAAUUCUGCUUAUGUAAAAACGUUAGAAAGGUUUUGGUUUCAUUCCAGGGUAGAAUCAAAACAAAUGUCAAAAUCUCAUAAAUUGUCAUGAAUUUGAAUUGUUGCUCUCUGGCCAUCUGUAGCAGGGGUUCUAGUGUGUCAGAGAGAAUGGAGCAGUGGCAUGCUAUGUGUCCAUGAGUGAGAGUAGGAGACUGAAGGGACAAUGUGAGGGUAAUGGAGCAGCAGUACAAGUGAAGCCCUUUUAACUGGCAUAUUAGAAUCUCCUUAGCUUCCCAGUCACCACUGUUAGCAUUUUAUAAGGGUCUUUUCCAGCAAAGACUUUUCUGACACCUGGCCCUUUAAAUCUGGGAGAGCCAAGCAUUUUGUAGUUGGCCCUUUAAAUCUCAGAGACACAGGCUUUUGCACCCCCUAAGGAGGCCAUUUUUAUUUUUUUUUUGGCAGAGUACUGCAAGCUGCACCUUUCUUCCUUCUAGUCAACUGCACCACAAGAAGAGUUUGAACAAAAUGUUAAUGCUAGAACCAGUUGAUUUAUGAUAAUGACCUUCCUGCAUAUUGAAGUUGAAAGCCUACUCCUGGAACAUUGUUGUGCUCACCAAGCUAUUAAAGACGGUGUUGGAUUAGCAAAAUUUAGAUACAGUAAUAUUGCAUGGAGCCAUGAAUAAAACACCACAUAUUACAGCAAAACCCAGUAAAAUUUUGCUCUUUCCCUUCAUUCAAAGCCACAGCACUUGCAACAGCCAAACCAUCAAGGACAGGGUCUCUGAACUGCUGACAGGUUGGCCAACCUGAGGGGCAGAAAAAAGAAGACUUGGGCUGAGACAUUUGCAGAACUCAUGACAGAGUCGCUGUGGAAUACCAGGCUGGCUGAGAGACUGGAUAUGAGGACCCAGAGGGAGAAAGUAAACCAGCUCAGGGAAAUGGCCAAGGACAGGGUCACAGUGGCCAGAGAAAGUGUGGCAGUGGCCAACAGCAGCAUCACCAUGGCAAAGGAGAGCACGGAAAAAGACAGAGAGAUGUGAAGGCAACUCAGGGACACUGUCCUGAGCCAAAAUGCCCUCCUGCAAAAUAUGUUCCUGCUAGAAGGCAUUUAGAAGAAAACAACACUGCAACAUAAACAGCACCAUCUCAGAUUCCUCACAUAGUUAUGAAGAUGAAACGAUUGAAGCUGACACCCCGCCGCCUCCAGGCAAGACUGAGGUGAUCCCAUUAGGAGGAGUGUUAGUGGUGGUUUCGGUCCUCCAAUAUCAUUUGUGACUGGCCAGAAGACUGACCCCUGCUUUUCAGAUGCAGACUGACAGGAGAGAUAGUAUUUUACUACUAUGUGAAGGCAGCUUUCUGAUAAAGAUAAUGUUUUCUCUGA